rnacentral:rRNA from 1 species
GAACUAAAGAGUUUGAUCCUGGCUCAGAUUGAACGCUGGCGGCAUGCUUUACACAUGCAAGUCGAACGGUAACAGGCCGCAAGGUGCUGACGAGUGGCGAACGGGUGAGUAAUGUAUCGGAACGUGCCCAGUCGUGGGGGAUAACGCAGCGAAAGCUGCGCUAAUACCGCAUACGAUCUAUGGAUGAAAGCGGGGGACCGUAAGGCCUCGCGCGAUUGGAGCGGCCGAUAUCAGAUUAGGUAGUUGGUGGGGUAAAGGCUCACCAAGCCAACGAUCUGUAGCUGGUCUGAGAGGACGACCAGCCACACUGGGACUGAGACACGGCCCAGACUCCUACGGGAGGCAGCAGUGGGGAAUUUUGGACAAUGGGCGCAAGCCUGAUCCAGCAAUG